UACGUAGGGGGCGAGCGUUGUCCGGAAUCACUGGGCGUAAAGGGCGCGUAGGCGGCAAUAUAAGUCAGAUGUGAAAGGUGGGGGCUCAACCCCUAGAGUGCAACUGAUACUGUAUAACUUGAGUGUGAGAGAGGGAAGCGGAAUUCCUAGUGUAGCGGUGAAAUGCGUAGAUAUUAGGAGGAACACCAGUGGCGAAGGCGGAUUGCUGGACAGUAACUGACGCUGAGGCGCGAAAGCGUGGGGAGCAAACAGG
rnacentral:rRNA from 1 species